rnacentral:rRNA from 1 species
AACGAACGCUGGCGGCAUGCCUAACACAUGCAAGUCGAACGAGAUCUUCGGGUCUAGUGGCGCACGGGUGCGUAACGCGUGGGAAUCUGCCCUUUGGUUCGGAAUAACAGUUGGAAACGACUGCUAAUACCAGAUGAUGACGAAAGUCCAAAGAUUUAUCGCCAGAGGAUGAGCCCGCGUAGGAUUAGCUAGUUGGUGUGGUAAAGGCGCACCAAGGCGACGAUCCUUAGCUGGUCUGAGAGGAUGAUCAGCCACACUGGGACUGAGACACGGCCCAGACUCCUCCGGGGGGCAGCAGUGGGGAAUAUUGGACAAGGGGCGAAGGCCUGAUCCAGCAUGGCCGCGGGGGUGAUGAAGGCCUUAGGGUUGUAAAGCUCUUUUACCCGGGAUGAAAAUGACAGUACCGGAAGAAUAAGCUCCGGCUAACUCCGUGCCAGCAGCCGCGGUAA